rnacentral:rRNA from 1 species
GAUGAACGCUGGCGGCGUGCCUAAUACAUGCAAGUCGAGCGAACAGACGAGGAGCGUGCUCCUCUGACGUUAGCGGCGGACGGGUGAGUAACACGAGGAUAACCGACCGAUAAGACUGGGAUAACGUCGGGAAACCGGAGCUAGCACCGGAUAAGAUAUUGAACCGCAUGGUUCAAUAGUGAAAGACGGUUUUGCUGUCACUAAUAGAUGGAUCCGCGCCGCAUUAGCUAGUUGGUAAGGUAACGGCUUACCAAGGCGACGAUGCGUAGCCGACCUGAGAGGGUGAUCGGCCACACUGGAACUGAGACACGGUCCAGACUCCUACGGGAGGCAGCAGUAGGGAAUCUUCCGCAAUGGGCGAAAGCCUGACGGAGCAACGCCGCGUGAGUGAUGAAGGUCUUCGGAUCGUAAAACUCUGUUAUUAGGGAAGAACAAAUGUGUAAGUAACUCUGCACGUCUUGACGUUACCUACUCAGAAAGCCCCGGCUAACUACGUG